ensembl:snoRNA SNORD12B small nucleolar RNA, C/D box 12B
GCUGGCAUGUGUGAUGACUGAAUUUUUUCCCCGGCAGAUCGACCAUGUUGAUCUAACUUCUCUAAGCCAGUUUCUGUCUGACCUGCCAGC